rnacentral:rRNA from 1 species
GUUCACGGCUAUACCACACCAAACGUGCCCCAUUUCUUCUGAUCUCGGAAGCUAAGCAGGGUUGGGUCUGGUUAGUGUGUGGAUGGGAGACUGGUGUUUGUUCACA